rnacentral:rRNA from 1 species
ACAUAGCUUAAUGAGGGGAACUCAGGGAACUGAAACAUCUAAGUACCUGAAGGAAGAGAAAGAAAUUCGAUUCCGUAAGUAGCGGCGAGCGAACGCGGAUUAGCCCAAACCAAUAAAGUUUUCUUUAUUGGGGUUGCGGACAUAUCAUAACGAAGAGGUAUCGUAAUUGAAGAGGUUUGGAAAGACCCACCACAGAAGGUAAUAGUCCUGUAUGUUAAACGAGAAGACUUUAGAUAUGAUCCAGAGUACCACGGGACACGUGAAACCCUGUGGGAAGCAGGAGGGACCACCCUCCAAGGCUAAAUACUACCUAGUGACCGAUAGCGUAUAGUACCGUGAGGGAAAGGUGAAAAGAACCCCGGGAGGGGAGUGAAAUAGAACCUGAAACCCUGCACUUACAAGCUGUGGAAGCACAUUUCUUGUGUGACCGCGUACUUUUUGUAGAACGGGCCAACGAGUUACGUUAAGUAGCAAGGUUAAGCACUUAAGGUGCGGAGCCGUAGCGAAAGCGAGUUUUAACUGAGCGUUCAGUUACUUGACGUAGACCCGAAACCGGGCGACCUACCCAUGAGCAGGAUGAAGCGAAAGUAAAAUUUCGUGGAGGUCCGAACCCACGAGCGUUGAAAAGCUCGGGGAUGACUUGUGGGUAGCGGUGAAAUUCCAAUCGAGCCCGGAGAUAGCUGGUUCUCCCCGAAAUAGCUUUAGGGCUAGCCUCAAGGUGAGAGAUACGGAGGUAGAGCACUGAAUGUCCUAGGGGGUAUUGCACCUACCGAAGACUAUCAAACUCCGAAUGCCGUCAUCUUAUACUUGGGAGUCAGACUGUGGGUGAUAAGAUUCAUAGUCGAAAGGGCAACAGCCCAGAUCGUCAGCUAAGGUCCCUAAAUGUAAGUUAAGUGGUAAAGGAUGUGGGAUUGCACAGACAACCAGGAUGUUGGCUUAGAAGCAGCCACUCAUUCAAAGAGUGCGUAAUAGCUCACUGGUCGAGUGAUCCUGCGCCGAAGAUUUCCGGGGCUAAAACUUACUACCGAAGCUACGGCAUCAGUAAUGAUGGGUAGGGGAGCUUCCCAUACGGGUUGAAGCAUGACCGUAAGGACAUGUGGACAGUAUGGGAGUGAGAAUGUUGGCAUGAGUAGCGAGAUGUGGGUGAGAAUCCCACAGGCCGUAAACCCAAGGUUUCCAGGGGAAGGUUCGUCCGCCCUGGGUUAGUCGGGACCUAAGCUGAGGCCGAAAGGCGUAGGUGAUGGACAACAGGUUGAUAUUCCUGUACUACCGAUAACCGUUUGAGAGAAGGGAUGACACAGUAGGAUAAGCUAAGCACACUGUUGGUUAUGUGUGCCCAAGCAUUGAGGCAGUCAAAGUAGGCAAAUCCGCUUUGAUAAUGCUGGGAUGUGAUGGGGAGCGAAAUUUAGUAGCGAAGUAGCUGAUUUCACACUGUCAAGAAAAGUCUCUAUCGAGGUUAAAGGUACCCGUACCGCAAACCGACACAGGUGGGUGAGGAGAGUAUCCUAAGGCCAGCGAGAGAACUGUUGUUAAGGAACUCGGCAAAAUGACCCCGUAACUUAGGGAUAAGGGGUGCCACCAUCAGGUGGCCGCAGAGAAUAGGCCCAAGCGACUGUUUACCAAAAACAUAGGUUUCUGCUAAGUCGCAAGACGAUGUAUAGGAGCUGACGCCUGCCCGGUGCUGGAAGGUUAAGGGGAUCUGUUAGAGCAAUCGAAGCAGUGAACUUAAGCCCCAGUAAACGGCGGCCGUAACUAUAACGGUCCUAAGGUAGCGAAAUUCCUUGUCGGGUAAGUUCCGACCCGCACGAAAGGCGUAACGAUUUGGGCACUGUCUCAACAACAGACUCGGUGAAAUUGUAAUUCCGGUGAAGAUGCCGGAUACCUGCGACAGGACGGAAAGACCCCAUGGAGCUUUACUGUAGCUUGACAUUGGGUCUUGGUACUACAUGUACAGGAUAGGUGGGAGGCUUUGAAACCAGGACGCCAGUUUUGGCGGAGCCAUCCUUGGGAUACCACCCUUGUAGUACUGGGACUCUAACCAUAGGCCAUGAAUCUGGUCUUGGGACACUGUCAGGUGGGCAGUUUGACUGGGGCGGUCGCCUCCCAAAAGGUAACGGAGGCGCUCAAAGGUUCUCUCAGUACGGUCGGAAAUCGUACGUAGAGUGUAAAGGCAAAAGAGAGCUUGAUUGCAAGACAUACAGGUCGAGCAAGGAUGAAAAUCGGACUUAGUGAUCCGGUGGUUCUGCGUGGAAGGGCCAUCGCUCAACGGAUAAAAGCUACCCUGGGGAUAACAGGCUUAUCUCCCCCAAGAGUCCACAUCGACGGGGAGGUUUGGCACCUCGAUGUCGGCUCAUCACAUCCUGGGGCUGUAGUAGGUCCCAAGGGUUGGGCUGUUCGCCCAUUAAAGUGGUACGCGAGCUGGGUUCAGAACGUCGUGAGACAGUUCGGUCCCUAUCCGUCGCAGGCGUAGGAAAUUUGAGAAGACCUGUCCUUAGUACGAGAGGACCGGGAUGGACGUACCUCUGGUGUACCAGUUGUCCUGCCAAGGGCAUGGCUGGGUAGCUAUGUACGGAAUGGAUAAGCGCUGAAAGCAUCUAAGCGCGAAGCCAACUUCAAGAUAAGAUUUCCCACCGCAAGGGUAAGACCCCAGAAAGACUAUCUGGUUGAUAGGUCGAAGGUGUAAGUGCAGCAAUGUAUUUAGCUUAUCGAUACUAAUAGGUCAAGGACUUGACCAAU